GAAAAGUGGCGGCUGCUAUACAUGCAGUCGAGCGGACAGAUGGGAGCUUGCUCCCUGAUGUUAGCGGCGGACGGGUGAGUAACACGUGGGUAACCUGCCUGUAAGACUGGGAUAACUCCGGGAAACCGGGGCUAAUACCGGAUGCUUGAUUGAACCGCAUGGUUCAAUUAUAAAAGGUGGCUUUUAGCUACCACUUACAGAUGGACCCGCGGCGCAUUAGCUAGUUGGUGAGGUAACGGCUCACCAAGGCAACGAUGCGUAGCCGACCUGAGAGGGUGAUCGGCCACACUGGGACUGAAACACGGCCCAAACUCCUACGGGAGGCAGCAGUAGGGAAUCUUCCGCAAUGGACGAAAGUCUGACGGAGCAACGCCGCGUGAGUGAUGAAGGUUUUCGGAUCGUAAAACUCUGUUGUUAGGGAAGAACAAGUACCGUUCGAAUAGGGCGGUACCUUGACGGUACCUAACCAGAAAGCCACGGCUAACUACGUGCCAGCAGCCGCGGUAAUACGUAGGUGGCAAGCGUUGUCCGGAAUUAUUGGGCGUAAAGCGCGCGCAGGCGGUUUCUUAAGUCUGAUGUGAAAGCCCCCGGCUCAACCGGGGAGGGUCAUUGGAAACUGGGGAACUUGAGUGCAGAAGAGGAGAGUGGAAUUCCACGUGUAGCGGUGAAAUGCGUAGAGAUGUGGAGGAACACCAGUGGCGAAGGCGACUCUCUGGUCUGUAACUGACGCUGAGGCGCGAAAGCGUGGGGAGCGAACAGGAUUAGAUACCCUGGUAGUCCACGCCGUAAACGAUGAGUGCUAAGUGUUAGAGGGUUUCCGCCCUUUAGUGCUGCAGCAAACGCAUUAAGCACUCCGCCUGGGGAGUACGGUCGCAAGACUGAAACUCAAAGGAAUUGACGGGGGCCCGCACAAGCGGUGGAGCAUGUGGUUUAAUUCGAAGCAACGCGAAGACCUUACCAGGUCUGACAUCCUCUGACAACCCUAGAGAUAGGGCUUCCCCUUCGGGGCAGAGUGACAGGUGUGCAUGGUUGUCGUCAGCCUCGUGUCGUGAGAUGUUGGGUUAAGUCCCGCAACGAAGCGCCACCCUUGAUCUAGUUGCCAGCAUUCAGUUGGCCACCUCUAAA
rnacentral:rRNA from 1 species